UGGGGAAUAUUGCACAAUGGGCGAAAGCCUGAUGCAGCAACGCCGCGUGAGUGAUGAAGGCCUUCGGGUUGUAAAGCUCUGUCUUUUGGGACGAUAAUGACGGUACCAAAGGAGGAAGCCACGGCUAACUACGUGCCAGCAGCCGCGGUAAUACGUAGGUGGCAAGCGUUGUCCGGAUUUACUGGGCGUAAAGGAUGCGUAGGCGGAUUUUUAAGUGAGAUGUGAAAACCCUAAGCUUAACUUGGGGACUGCAUUUCAUACUGGAAAUCUAGAGUGCGGGAGAGGAGAACGGAAUUCCUAGUGUAGCGGUGAAAUGCGUAGAGAUUAGGAAGAACACCAGUGGCGAAGGCGAUUCUCUGGACCGUAACUGACGCUGAGGCAUGAAAAGCGUGGGUAGCAAACAGGAUUAGAUACCCUGGUAGUCCACGCCGUAAACGAUGAGUACUAGGUGUAGGAGGUAUCGACCCCUUCUGUGCCGCAGUUAACACAAUAAGUACUCCGCCUGGGAAGUACGAUCGCAAGAUUAAAACUCAAAGGAAUUGACGGGGUC
rnacentral:rRNA from 1 species